AGAGUUUGAUCCUGGCUCAGAUUGAACGCUGGCGGCAUGCUUUACACAUGCAAGUCGAACGGUAACAGGGAGCUUGCUCCGCUGACGAGUGGCGAACGGGUGAGUAAUGCAUCGGAACGUACCGUGUAAUGGGGGAUAACGUAGCGAAAGUUACGCUAAUACCGCAUACGCCCUGAGGGGGAAAGUGGGGGACCGCAAGGCCUCACGUUAUACGAGCGGCCGAUGCCGGAUUAGCUAGUUGGUGGGGUAAAGGCCUACCAAGGCGACGAUCCGUAGCGGGUCUGAGAGGAUGAUCCGCCACACUGGGACUGAGACACGGCCCAGACUCCUACGGGAGGCAGCAGUGGGGAAUUUUGGACAAUGGGGGCAACCCUGAUCCAGCCAUGCCGCGUGAGUGAAGAAGGCCUUCGGGUUGUAAAGCUCUUUCAGGUGGAAAGAAAUCUCCCGGGUGAAUACCCUGGGAGGAUGACGGUACCAUCAGAAGAAGCACCGGCUAACUACGUGCCAGCAGCCGCGGUAAUACGUAGGGUGCGAGCGUUAAUCGGAAUUACUGGGCGUAAAGCGUGCGCAGGCGGUUGUGUAAGACAGAUGUGAAAUCCCCGGGCUCAACCUGGGAACUGCGUUUGUGACUGCACAACUAGAGUACGGCAGAGGGAGGUGGAAUUCCGCGUGUAGCAGUGAAAUGCGUAGAGAUGCGGAGGAACACCGAUGGCGAAGGCAGCCUCCUGGGCCAGUACUGACGCUCAUGCACGAAAGCGUGGGGAGCAAACAGGAUUAGAUACCCCGGUAGU
rnacentral:rRNA from 1 species